GGGUGACUAGUCUAGUGGUCAGGACGCUUCGUUGUGGUUGUUUUCUCAGGGAAAGCAUCACAGACGAUUCCGAAGAAACCCCGGUUCGAUUCCGGGGUCGCCCA